rnacentral:rRNA from 1 species
AUUGAACGCUGGCGGCAGGCCUAACACAUGCAAGUCGAACGAGCGGCGGACGGGUGAGUAAUGUCUGGGAAACUGCCCGAUGGAGGGGGAUAACUACUGGAAACGGUAGCUAAUACCGCAUACUAUCGGAUGUGCCCAGAUGGGAUUAGCUAGUAGGUGGGGUAACGGCUCACCUAGGCGACGAUCCCUAGCUGGUCUGAGAGGAUGACCAGCCACACUGGGACUGAGACACGGUACAGACUCCUACGGGAGGCAGCAGUGGGGAAUAUUGCACAAUGGGCACAAGCCUGAUGCAGCCAUGCCGCGUGUGUGAAGAAGGCCUUAGGGUUGUAAAGCACUUUCAGCGGGGAGGCGUUACCCGCAGAAGAAGCACCGGCUAACUCCGUGCCAGCAGCCGCGGUAAUUC